UACGUAGGGCGCGAGCGUUGUCCGGAAUUAUUGGGCGUAAAGAGCUCGUAGGCGGCCAACUAAGUCGGACGUGAAAUCCCUCGGCUUAACCGGGGAACGGCGUCCGAUACUGGAUGGCUUGAGUUCGGGAGAGGGAUGCGGAAUUCCAGGUGUAGCGGUGAAAUGCGUAGAUAUCGAGAGGAACACCGGCGGCGAAGGCGGGUUGCUGGGCUGACACUGACGCUGAUGCGCGAAAGCCAGGGGAGCGAACGGG
rnacentral:rRNA from 1 species